GCCGUCGGUAGGAGUUAUACUCCUAAUAGGGCCAUUUCAGCUAUUUUUUUAACCGAAAGACAAACGAAGUAAGGCGGAGCGUGCCAAGCAUAGGGGUUUGCCGGCGGUAAAGGUUGCCGGGGGAGGGGGUGUUCGCCGACAUUGAAUAGCUGGAUUAGACGAGGUUUCUUUUUCCUCUGUCGAAAUUAACUAUAGGGCGGUACACGUUCUCCCCGGCUCCUACGCCCCCGGCCACAUGUACUAAUCCAAUAAAAACAUGUCGCGGCCGGAAUUUGGGAGGCGGACUAGUAGACCUCUGAAUUUGACUUGUAAGGUUCACAACUUGAACAAUGUCGGUUUUCAAGAGAACUCAGAUACAGUACCCAAUAAAUCUGGAUAAAUAGAUAAUGAAAGUUGGUCCUAUAGUUCUACAUUGUGGUGUACAGGCAAAUGUGUGAGCCUUAAUGAAGACAAUAAGUUAUUCUUACAAUAUGUUACUGGUGAUACAAAGCCAGAAGUAAUAGUUAGAAUGCGCGGAUUAAUAAGAAUGAGAAUUAGUACAAAAUAAUCAGUAUUAUGAACAUAGUUUAAUAGCCAUACUCGACGUACAAAAGAAACGGCAACCAAAUAACUAAAAUUCACUUCAUUUCGGCUCUUUGUGUAAUCCGUCGCUGAAUCCGACGUGUGGGAAAUGGGAGGCGAAUUGGGACAGGGCCGGGAUGGGAGGGGUGCGCAGUCCCGCCGACAGGUGAAGUGAUCUCCGCUUAAGAGGUGCAGGUCACUUCGCUGUCUCCCGAGUCACCAGGCAGAGGUACGAGAAGAUCCAGGUGGGGGGGGCCAGCCAUGUCUAGCGCGGUCGUGGAGCGGAUCAGCACCCUGUCGCUGAGCGUGCAGCAGCUUGGCCGACUGCCCCGCGUUCUGGAUGCCCUGCCCUCCCUCCCCUCCCUGAGGGCCACCGUGCAGGCGUCCGAGGUGCCUGCACUCUUCCGUGAGCCUUACAUCCUGUCAGGCUACCGGGCCGUGGGCCAGGACUGGCACUGCUACCUCCUCAGCCUCUUCCAGUGGCACAAUGAGUCGCUGAACGUGUGGACGCACCUGCUGGCCGUUCUGCCGGUGCUGCUGCGCUGCUGGGUCUUCGCCGGCACCUGGGGCCUGGCGGCGGUGGCACCGGAUCCCGUCGCGCUGCCGCUGCUCCUCUUCGUGCUGUCAGCCAUCUCCUACCUGCUGUUCAGCACCGCUGCCCACCUGCUGCAGUCACGCUCCGAGCUGGCGCACUACGCACUCUUCUUCCUGGACUACGUGGGCGUCGGCAUAUACCAGUAUGGCUGUGCCCUGGCACACUACUUUUACAGCUCCGAGCCGGCCUGGCGCCAGAGCAUUGUGGGGGAGGUCUUCCUGCCCGCCGCUGCCUUCCUUGGUUGGCUGUCCUGCACCAGUUGCUGUUACGCCAAGCUCCGUUACCGCUGCCCGUACCCCUUGCAGAGGAAGCUCAUCCAGCUGAUCCCUGCUGGCCUGGAGUAUCUGUUGGUCAUCAGUCCCGUGGCUCACCGCCUGGCCACGGGUUCCUGGAGCGACCCGGCACUGCCUUUCCAUGCUCUCCAGGUCGUCUUCUUCAUCCUGGCCACCUUCUUCUUCUCCUGCCCCCUGCCCGAGCUCCUCUUCCCGGGCCGCUGCGAUAUCGUGGGCCACGGCCACCAGAUCUUCCACGUCUUCCUGGUGCUGUGCACGCUCUGCCAGCAGGAGGCGCUGCUGGAGGACUUUGUGGCCCGCCGGGAGUCGGUGGUGCAGGUGCACGGCGAGGGCCGGCUGCUUCUGGCUGCCGCCUCCUACGGCGUGCUGGUGCUGUGCAGUGCAGUGACCGCAGUGCUCAUGUGCGCCGUGGUGCAGCGACGCUUGCAGAGGAAAGAGGAGUGACAUCACCCUACAAAGGGGGACAUGCACAGAUUUCAUUUUAAACCGUUUACAAUGCAUUUAUAGUAAUUUAUGGGCUUUAUUUAUGAGAUUAGGGCUUAAAACACAGAUCAGUAUGUUUACCUCAAUCUCUAUUAUUGUUGUUGUUGAUUUAUUAUUAUUAUUAUUAUUAUUAUUAUUAGUAGUAGUAGUAGUAUUAAUUUGAUUUGCCGACAUUUUCAUUCCAGGGAGCUCACCAGCCCCAAAAUCACAAUGCACAGUGUCACCCAAGACAGCCACGAAAGGCUUCAAAGAUGUGGCAGUGACGUCACAUGCAGGCUUCUCAGAGACACAAAGCCAAGGCUACAGGGGUCUGUCUGGGAAGCCCCAGAUUACUGCCGGAUCUUUCGAUUCGGGGCUACGCCCGAUGGAUUAGCCGGAAGUAUAAGCCAAAUGCUAAGAUAGCAAAGCUAUCUUAAUUAGACUUGUGCCUUCUCACAAUGACCACUAGGAUGCAUAAGGCAGAUAUUGAAUGGGGACGGUGCAGAGUGCCAGUGUUACACAUAUAUGCACUUAGUGACGUCAAGAUGUGUCCAGCAGAGAUGGCUGGAGCUCACCAUGGUGACAGUUUGUCUUUAAGAAUGCCACGCAUCCUGUUCAGAUCUCAUGACACACUUUCUGCCACGAUAAGCUCUGUUUACUGUUUUAGUCACAUAACUGUUCCACCCUGACUCUGUGCACAUUCCGUUCAUUCUAGGCAUCAUCGAACCACUUAAUUCUUUGCUCUCUGAAUCCGCUCAGCACAGAGCGGAGAAUACACUGGAAUAUGGUCUCGUGUUUUAAUCUGAAGAGACUCUGUUUGAACCGAUACAGCAGUUGUACUGGUACAGUUUAAAAAAUAUAUAUAUCUUUUAAAUUGUAAAUUUCUUUUUAAAUGCAUUUCUCAAAAGACAGUCUGAAUAAAGGCAACACAAUGUAUUUUAGUCUAUGUAUUAAAUCAGGGCUCUCCAGGACCGGGGUUAAGGGUUAAGGUUGUCAUAGUUAUCGUUAGCAUUUUUCCCAUUGAAAUGAAUGAGCGGUCCCCAUAAGGAUAGGUAUACCCAACGUGUGUGUUUGUGCACCCUGCGAUGGACUGGCCUUGUGCUGGUGCUGAGAUAUGAAGAAAUGAGCCUUUAUGCUGAAUUUAUGUGUGUCAGUUGUGUACUGUUGCCUGUAGUGUCUUUAAAUAUAACCAGAAUUUUUUUAAACAGUUAACUCUGUGUAUUUGUGUUACUAGGAAUGUAAAAAUAUUGCCAAAUUAGUGAUUAAAAGAGUAUUUGAGUUGGUUUCUUAGGAUAUUAUUAUUAUUAUUGCUUUGAGAGUAUGCUUUUCGUGCCUUUACCUCAACCAAGGUACAAGCAUAUUAGCAUUAGCCCAAAGCUACAUAGCACAGGCUGGAAUGGAUUUGACAAUGCUAAUUCAUUGUUUUGUGUACAGUCAAUGAAACAUUCUUAUCCUGAUUAUUCUCAUCCUUGGUCUACAUUCAAGGCCUACUGGACAACAGUAUUUUUGUGAAUCAUGCCCAUAAUAACUUCCUUUGGAGGUGGGGGGGUACCUGAAGGGGGUUAGCCAGCGUAGCACGAGAUUUCACAGUAUUCUGACUGAAAGUAGAAAAAAAUCCAUUCUGUCAAAGAAUGUGCUGCUGCGUAAAGGUUAGGAUAAUAAAUGGAAACUAAAAAGGCAAACUAUAUGACUGACAAAAGCAUAGUUAGCACAGGUGCUAGUGGACCUUUAAAGUAUCCCUUUAAGAAAGACCUCAUACACUACAGUGUGACCCCUUAUUCAGACAUUCCCAAAACACAGGAAUGCCAUUCAUAUGCAGGCUUCCUUUUAACAGUAAAUGAUCAUGCUGUUAGGAUCUGAACAUGCUUAUGCUAUUGCACAGAGUGACUUAUCUUAGCUUUCAUAAUUUUAAGACAUUGAUUUUGAAUAUCUAUUUUCAAUGCAGUGACAUUAGAUGGUCACUUUUCUCUGUACAUGUCAUAUUAAGACAUUGUUUGCCAAGAAAUAAAAUAAAUCAGAACA